AGCGGCGGACGGGUGAGUAACGCGUGGGUAACCUGCCUCAUACAGGGGGAUGACAGUUGGAAACGGCUGCUAAUACCGCAUAAGCGCACAGUACCGCAUGGUACGGUGUGAAAAACUCCGGUGGUAUGAGAUGGACCCGCGUCUGAUUAGGUAGUUGGUGGGGUAACGGCCUACCAAGCCGACGAUCAGUAGCCGACCUGAGAGGGUGACCGGCCACAUUGGGACUGAGACACGGCCCAA
rnacentral:rRNA from 1 species